UGGCACUACAGGCUGAGGGGCGGUUUGAGAAGGCUGCAGUGGAGUACCAGGAACAGCUGUGUGCCGUGACGGGGAUGGACUGUUCCAUUAAGGGCUUCGACCGCUCACUCCUCAAACUGGGCGGAGCCAACAGCUCUAACACAGCCAGCCCCAAACACAACGGCAACGGUGAUGGCAGGAAGACGGUUCUCCUCAAGUCCAACGAGUGUUCCUCCGAGGUGCUCAACCUCCUUGCCAACAAGGCAUGCCAGUGCUAUGUGGCCCUCGGCGG